CUGUGUGCUUAGGUUUGUUGUCCUGUUGGAAGGUGAAGUUUCGCCCCAGUCUGAGGUCCUGAGCGCUCUGGAGCAGGUUUUCAUCAAGGAUCUCUCUGUACUUUGCUGGGUUCAUCUUUCCCUCGAUCCUGACUAGUCUCCCAGUUCCUGCCGCUGAAACACAGCAUGAUGCUGCCACCACCAUGCUUCACCGUAGGGAUGGUGCCAGGUUUCCUCCAGAUGUGAUGCUUGGCAUUCAGGCCAAAGAGUUCAAUCUUGGUUUCAUCAGACCAGAGAAUCUUGUUUCUCAUGGUCUGAGAGUCUUUAGGUGCCUUUUGGCAAACUGCAAGCGGGCUGUCAUGCCUUUUACGGAGGAGUGGUUUUUGUCAACUCUACCUUAAAAGGCCUGAUUGGUGGAGUGCUGCAGAGAUGGUUAUCUUUCUGGAAGGUUCUCCCAUCUCCACAGAGGAGCUCUGACAGAGACCAUUGGGUUUUUGGUCACCUCCCUGACCAAGGCCCUUCUCCCCCGAUUGCGCCGUUUGGCUGGGCAGCCAGCUCUAGGAAGAGUCUUGGUGGUUCCAAACUUCUUCCAUUUAAGAAUGAUGGAGGCCACUGUGUUCUUGGACCUUCAAUGCUGCAGAAAUGUUUUGUUACCCUUCCCCAGAUCUGUGCCUCGACACAAUCCUGUCUCUGAUCUCUACAGACAAUUCCUUCAACCUUGUGGCUUGGUUUUUGCUCUGACAUGCACCAUCAACUGUGGUACCUUAUCUAGACAGGUGUGUGCCUUUCCAAAUCAUGUCCAAUCCAUUGAAUUUACCACAGGUGGACUCCAAUCAAGUUGUAGAAACAUCUGAAUGAUGAUCAAUGGAAACAGGAUGCACCUGAGCUCAAUUUUGAGUCUCAUAGCAAAGGGUCUGAAUACUUAUGUAAAUAAGGUAUUUCUGUUUUGUUUUUAAUAAAUGUCUGAACCUGUUUUCACUCUGUCAUUAUGGGGUAUUGUCUGUAGAUUGAUGAGGGGAGAAACAUAUUUUAUCCAUUUGUAACGUGGGAAAGGAGAAGGUGUCUGAAUACUUUCCAAAUGCCCUGUAAAGGGAAUGACGACCCAGUUGAGAUGCGUUCUUUGUUUUUCCAGGUGGAAGUGAUUCAUUUUACAGGUUCAUUCUGUUGUGUUAUGGCAGCUUGUCCUGCUUGGCACUGACAUAACUGUACUGACAACAGCUAGUGCAUGUGUACAGGGUUCAUGUGAACAAAAUAAAUAAAACUUUGUUUUGAAAAUAUAUGAAAUAAAAAA
rnacentral:lncRNA from 1 species